GAUGAACGCUGGCGGCGUGCCUAAUACAUGCAAGUCGAGCGAACAGACGAUGAGCUUGCUCCUCUGACGUUAGCGGCGGACGGGUGAGUAACACGUGGAUAACCUACCUCUAAGACUGGGAUAACUUCGUGAAACCGGAUCUAAUACUGGAUAAUAUAUUGAACCGCAUGGUUCAAUAGUGCAUGACGGUUUUGCUGUCACUUAUAGAUGGAUCCGCGCCGCAUUAGCUAGUUGGUAAGGUAACGGCUUACCAAGGCGACGAUGCGUAGCCGACCUGAGAGGAUGAUCGGCCACACUGGAACUGAGACACGGUCCAGACUCCUACGGGAGGCAGCAGUAGGGAAUCUUCCGCAAUGGGCGCAAGCCUGACGGAGCAACGCCGCGUGAGUGAUGAAGGUCUUCGGAUCGUAAAACUCUGUUAUUAGGGAAGAACAAAUGUGUAAGUAACUAUGCAUGUCUUGACGGUACCUAAUUAGAAAGCCACGGCUAACUACGUG
rnacentral:rRNA from 1 species